GCCAGUCUGUUAUCACAAACCUGUGGCCUCUUGAUGUCAAGACUUGUUCCACGGAUACUACAGGAGAGACUUCAUAUGUUCUCUUUACUGGAAAGGAAACAGCAACUGAGUGAACAUGGAUACAUUUCAGCUCGGAAGAGGAAACUGGACAAAGGCUUAAUUUACGACAUCACUGAUAUUGCUGUCUGCUUUAGAGUCAAACUGUAUCUUCAGCUUGUGACAUAUGAUCAGGUUUUUCAGGUUUUAACGUGACAAAAAUGUGCCUCUACAUGAUACAAUGCCACAAUGUGUUCUUUGAUUGUCGGGUAUUUUUGCUUUGACAAAUACAAAUAUUUCCCAUUAGUUAAAGAAAUAGAUUAAAAACAUCCCUCCAAUAGCAAAUAAAUGUAUGUUUUACUAAAUCU